UGGCUGGCCAAGAAAAAUUGGCAUCUGGCAUACCUAGGAAUCAUUCAAAAUAGUUUAAUAGGAAGGACAUUUUGAGGCCAGCCAGCAUUAUGACAUUUGUGGGUCCUACGGCAUUUCACCUUGGAAACAUUUUCCUGGGCAUCUAAAAGUAUUGUGGACCUGAGACACUGUGCUUACAGGGCCUACUGGUUUUCACUGUAUGAGACCGAGAAUGGAUUAUGGCAGUUCCUCUUACCUCCGCUGCAUACUUGACUCCAUCCACGGUGUGCUCAGAGCCAUGAUCAUCCGAAGAGCCCCAGUGAAGAUGAAACUGGCGAAGUCGGUAGGGUCCAGGGAGAGGACCCCCUCUCAGCACUGUGAUUCAGAUAAGCUUGGUCAACAGUGAAUUCAUGCUUCUUUUACAGAGCUCUACUUUAACCAAGUGCUCUUAGAGCCAAGGCUUAAUGGACAAAAUGUGGUCAGUUUGCUGGGUGGAUGGUGCCACUCCCAGGACACUGGACUCCUCACAAAAUGAAGUCUGGGGAUAUGUCAAGAUAAAUGAUUGUUCUUUUCUGUCUUUCUUAUUUUGUUUGCUUGUUUCAUUAUUAUUGAAACAUCAUUUUAACAUUUAGGAAAGCAAAA
rnacentral:lncRNA from 1 species